AUGUUCUUAGUCCAAAACUACUUCUUACAACAGCUAUAGCAGAUCCGAUAUAUUUACAUGCCAUGUCAAUCCGGCAAAGUGGAUAGACUCCUACUCUAGCCGUCUAUAUUUGUUGUUCGCUUCUUGUCUUCUUAGCUGGCGGCGGCACAUCGUGAUGGCCAUCAACCCUAUUUUCAAAGUAUCCGUGAGUAAUGAAUUUCAAACCUUUAAUCCUACUUCCUAAUUCCUGAUGUUACCGGGAUGGUAUAGGCGAUAAAAGAUCUCAAAAGAGCAGAAGAUGAUUAAGGAAAGAGAGAGAAAGGUAUGAGAUAGUGGUGAAAUACUUGGGUAGAUUAUGGCUUUUCCGAAAAAGAAGAGGAAAAAAUUUGCCAUGAGACGGCAGUAGGAGGAUUUCGUGAUUCUGGGUACUUUUGGAUUUGGAUGUCGUUCAGCCAGUCAGCGUCCACCGGUCGCUCCGCCCAUCCGCGACUCGGCUCCGCGCGUACACCCCACGGGCUCAGCUCCAGGCGAGGCUGGCGAG
rnacentral:lncRNA from 1 species